rnacentral:ribozyme from 1 species
AUAUCUGCACCAGAUGACAAGGUAACAGAAAUGAAAGCAAACAGAAAGACUAUUAGAAUAUCUAGAAAGCAGGUUUCUUGAUCCUCUUUUCUACCUGUUUUGUUUGUUUUUGGUGUCCGCUCUUUU